rnacentral:tRNA from 1 species
GCCCGAUUAGCUCAGCUGGUUAGAGCGUCGUACUAAUAUUCACUCGGAAUACUAAGUAAUGCGAAGGUCAACAGUUCAAUCCUGUUAUUGGGCA